GACGAACGCUGGCGGCGUGCUUAACACAUGCAAGUCGAACGGGCCUUGUCCCCUUUUUUUUGGGGGUGGGGUUAGUGGCGAACGGGUGAGUAACACGUGAGUAACCUGCCCCUCACUUCUGGAUAACCGCUUGAAAGGGUGGCUAAUACGGGGUGUUCUGGCCUGCUCGCAUGGGUGGGUUUGGAAAGAUUCGACCGGUUUUGGUUGUUUUGGUGGGGGAUGGGCUCGCGGCCUAUCAGCUGGUUGGUGGGGUGAUGGCCUGCCAAGGCUUUGACGGGUAGCCGGCCUGAGAGGGUGGGCGGUCACACUGGGACUGAGACACGGCCCAGACUCCUACGGGAGGCAGCAGUGGGGAAUAGUGCACAAUGGGCGCAAGCCUGAUGCAGCGACGCCGCGUGAGGGAUGGAGGCCUUCGGGUUGUGAACCUCUUUCGCCAGUGAAGAAGGUCCUGCUCUUUGUGGUGGGGUUGACGGUAGCUGGGUUAAUGAAGCGCCGGCUAACUACGUG
rnacentral:rRNA from 1 species